AGGAUGAACGCUAGCGGCAGGCUUAACACAUGCAAGUCGAGGGACGGUAGCAAUACCGGACCGGCAAACGGGUGCGGAACACGUACGCAACAUACCCCUAACUGGGAGAUAGCCUUCUGAAAAGGAGAUUAAUACCCCAUAGUAUGGCAGAACGGCAUCGUUUUGGCAUUAAAGAAUUUUGGUUAGGGAUUGGCGUGCGUCCCAUUAGGUAGUUGGUGUGGGUAACGGCCCACCAAGCCGACGAUGGGUAGCUGGUGUGAGAGCACGACCAGCCACACGGGCACUGAGACACGGCCCAGACUCCUACGGGAGGCAGCAGUGGGGAAUAUUGCGCAAUGGGCGAAAGCCUGACGCAGCGACGCCGCGUGGGGGAUGAAGGCCUUCGGGUUGUAAACCCUUUCAGCAGGGACGAAGCGAAGUGACGGUACCUGCAGAAGAAGCGCCGGCUAACUACGUGCCAGCAGCCGC
rnacentral:rRNA from 1 species